rnacentral:rRNA from 3 species
CUGGCGGCUGUAGCGCGGUGGUCCCACCUGACCCCAUGCCGAACUCAGAAGUGAAACGCCGUAGCGCCGAUGGUAGUGUGGGGUCUCCCCAUGCGAGAGUAGGGAACUGCCAG